CGGGCAAAUUUUCUCCAGUCCCACAAAAAAACACAACAAAGCGCCUAUGCAAAACCCUCCCUCUGUCAAUCAGGAUCUUCUUCCAGUGUCUACUAACAUUACAAGCAUGAUUCAGAAGAUAGAGAGAGAGAUGUUUUAUUAGAGAAGAACGGAUUAACUUUUUCUAUGUUAGUUAGGGAUGCUAUAUUUAUCACUUUUAAUUCAUUAACUACAAAAAGGUCAGACGUUUUUAAUUCUGGUGCCGCUCUGCACACACAAGCGUGUUGGCUGGCUUCUCUAGUCCAACGUUAAGCCGACUCUGGAGUUCAACGACAUCUGAAGGAUCAACUUGCUUAUAUUGAGAAUUCUGUGAACUGUCUCGGAAAAAGAAAGGAGCAGCUGCGGACCAGAAGACUGUAGCCAAGGCAGCACUGGUCCACACCUGCAUGUCUGUCUGGUCUAAUUCCUGAAAUGGAAAAACAGAAGUCUGUGCGCUCUUGGAAAGUGAUAAAAGUUCAUAUGGUGCUCUUUGAUGUCCCAGUUUGCGUCCUGUUAUGGAAACAGCACUCUCCAUCAGCCUCUCCAACUCUUUGGGAAGGGCCCUAAGUGUGGCUACAUGUCCCUCAUCGCCUACCGUAGCCCUCGUAAUGUCCCCCGCCCGCAUCUGGCAUGCAAUGCCCCUAAAUUGACUCUAUGUCAGAUCUGCAGAAUGCUGCGUGUGAUGCGUUUUGAGGCUGCUGCUGCAGGCAACAACAGGAAGCAAGCAUCUUCUCCUCCUCCACCACCUAGCUCUCCGGCCAAGUCAAACAGGAGAUGUCUGCCUUCCUGCUUUCGCCACAGACGUAAUACUACUAACAUAAAGAGAUUUGGAUGA
rnacentral:lncRNA from 8 species